CCUACGGGCGGCAGCAGUGAGGAAUAUUGGUCAAUGGACGAGAGUCUGAACCAGCCAAGUAGCGUGAAGGAUGACUGCCCUAUGGGUUGUAAACUUCUUUUAUAUGGGAAUAAAACGUUCCACGUGUGGGAUUUUGUAUGUACCAUAUGAAUAAGGAUCGGCUAACUCCGUGCCAGCAGCCGCGGUAAUACGGAGGAUCCGAGCGUUAUCCGGAUUUAUUGGGUUUAAAGGGAGCGUAGGUGGAUUGUUAAGUCAGGUGUGAAAGUUUGCGGCUCAACCGUAAAAUUGCAGUUGAAACUGGCAGUCUUGAGUACAGUAGAGGUGGGCGGAAUGCGUGGUGUAGCGGUGAAAUGCUUAGAUAUCGCGAAGAACUCCGAUUGCGAAGGCAGUUCACUGGACUGCAACUGACACUGAGGCUCGAAAGUGUGGGUAUCAAACAGGAUUAGAUACCCUUGUAGUC
rnacentral:rRNA from 1 species